rnacentral:tRNA from 1 species
GCAUUGGUGUUUCAGUGGUAGAAUUCUUGCUUUACAUGCAGGAGACCCAGGUUCAUUUCCCAGCCAGUGCA